rnacentral:rRNA from 1 species
AUUGAACGCUGGCGGCAGGCCUAACACACGCAAGUCGAACGGUAACAGGAAGAAGCUUGCUUCUUUGCUGACGAGUGGCGGACGGGUGAGUAAUGUCUGGGAAACUGCCUGAUGGAGGGGGAUAACUACUGGAAACGGUAGCUAAUACCGCAUAACGUCGCAAGACCAAAGAGGGGGACCUUCGGGCCUCUUGCCAUCGGAUGUGCCCAGAUGGGAUUAGCUAGUAGGUGGGGUAACGGCUCACCUAGGCGACGAUCCCUAGCUGGUCUGAGAGGAUGACCAGCCACACUGGAACUGAGACACGGUCCAGACUCCUACGGGAGGCAGCAGUGGGGAAUAUUGCACAAUGGGCGCAAGCCUGAUGCAGCCAUGCCGCGUGUAUGAAGAAGGCCUUCGGGUUGUAAAGUACUUUCAGCGGGGAGGAAGGGAGUAAAGUUAAUACCUUUGCUCAUUGACGUUACCCGCAGAAGAGGCACCGGCUAACUCCGUG